GACGAACGCUGGCGGCGUGCUUAACACAUGCAAGUCGAACGGAAAGGCCCUGCUUUUGUUGGGUGCUCGAGUGGCGAACGGGUGAGUAACACGUGAGUAACCUGCCCUUGACUUUGGGAUAACUUCAGGAAACUGGGGCUAAUACCGGAUAGGAGCUCCUGCUGCAUGGUGGGGGUUGGAACGUUUCGGCGGGUGGGGAUGGACUCGCGGCUUAUCAGCUUGUUGGUGGGGUAGUGGCUUACCAAGGCUUUGACGGGUAGCCGGCCUGAGAGGGUGACCGGCCACAUUGGGACUGAGAUACGGCCCAGACUCGUACGGGAGGCAGCAGUGGGGAAUAUUGCACAAUGGGCGGAAGCGUGAUGCAGCAACGCCGCGUGCGGGAUGACGGCCUUCGGGUUGUAAACCGCUUUCGCCUGUGACGAAGCGUGAGUGACGGUAAUGGGUAAAGAAGCACCGGCUAACUACGUG
rnacentral:rRNA from 1 species